CGCGAAUUUUAUGCCGCGGUGGCAUUUUCUUUUCGUUUCGGUUAUUGAGGACGCGUGCUCGCUUUCGUACAGGAUUAUGUUUUUUUUUGCUAUCGUUAAACCUAACGAUAUAGGAUAUUUAAUAAGAGUUUUUAAAAUUAAAUCAGGCACGGGUUAAUUCCCCCCCCAUUGUGUUCUUUGUAAGGGGGGGCGGGAAACAGGAUGCACGAGCCACGUGCACACAUUUCAGUAAUUAGCUGGAGAGAAGAUGAGGAUGAGCACCAUGUGCUGGCUGAGGUAGUGCUUUGUGCUGUUGGUCGGGUCGCUCCUCUGCCCGCUGAUGGAGAUGACGGCGCAAAACACUGCCUUGCUAGAGCUGGUGAUGAACCGCAUAUAAUCUACAAGACCUACACACCAGAUUUACAAGAUUUACACACCAGUCAUUUAUGUUUUUAUAACUCAAAUUCAAACCUGGGCUUUAUUAUAAAUAAAUGUGAUCCCACAUCCGUGUGUGUGUCCAGUGUCUUCUCUGUACCAGGUUCUGAGGCCAUUUCUUCUGUCCACUUAUUUUUGAGCUUUUCCCAUUUGUGUAGUUUUGUGUGCAUUUUCUGAUUGGUUUAUUGAUCUUAACCAGGGACAUUUUUUAGUAAUCAGUUUUUCUACCGUCAUCGUCAUUAACUGAAUAUCUGUUCUUAAAAAUAAAUAACAGGCACUGUUUCAGUCACAAUUUGCUUACCAGGAUUACGAUACGUUAUUAGCCGUUUUACAUGCAGUUAGCAUGCCAGCUCGGUUAUGAGUUGAAGUAAAUAAGUUAAAUUGAACUAUAAAAUAAUGUUACAUUAAAAAAAAGUCAGCUAUGUAGCCAUACAUAAAUAUUACAUUUGUAACGCAAAAUUCAGUAGCAAACUUGAAGUACAUUUUCCCUGAGUGAUUAAUCCAGUUAUGGUGACUAGCUAACAUGUACUAGAAAGUUGUCGGUUGUGAUGUUUCUGCUUAUUUAAGUAGCUUAGAAUAUCUAAAUUAACCCUAAAGUAGGCACAAAUGAAUUGCCAUGGUUAAUCCAAUUUCGAAUUUUAUUUGUAUAGCACAUAUAACUAUAGACAUUUGUCACAAAGCAGCUUUACAGAAAUCUGAUUGUAGAUUAAUGAACAAGCCAGAAGCAACAGUGUCAAUGGAGGGGGAAACUCCCUGAGAUCUGAGAUUAUAGCUAAUUAAAGUAUAUAGGUGUGUGAAAAGAAGAUAAGCAAUAAACAGCACUGUUGAAAGGAUGACCUUUUGUGAAGGUAGCCUGGGAUGAUCACAAGACAAGUCCCUGAUUAGGUAUAAACAAAACAGAAGGCUCCAAGUAUAAACUCAGCAUCGGGAUGAAUCAGGCAGGUACCAUUGUAGUAGUACUGUAUUGCCUCCAGUUCUGUUUGUAAAGAGAAUGCCCAUUUUAUUUGUGGAAAAAGACCUGACCUUUCUAUAGCCUACAUGAUAUAGCCUACAGAUCCACAUAUGGGGUCCUCUGAUAUAUACUGUGUGCAUAAUCGGUGCUGUUACUGAGUCAGUGUUGGGUACACUGGUCUUGCAGAACCAUGACUGGUAUCUCAAAAUGUAGGCAAGUAUGUUAUAUGAUACUUGACCAAAUGUACCUUGUAACUAGAUUUGUCCUGCUUUAAUAAGUGAAAUCCAAUCUUCCUAGUCAGGCCGAAAAAAUCUGCAGUGUGUCUAGGUCUCAAAGUAUUCUUCAUUUAUCAUCAAUAUAAGAACGGUUUUUGAUUAAUC
ensembl:lncRNA